rnacentral:rRNA from 1 species
CGGAAUUACUGGGCGUAAAGGGCUCGUAGGCGGCCAACUAAGUCGGACGUGAAAUCCCUCAGCUUAACUGGGGAACUGCGUCCGAUACUGGAUGGCUUGGAUUUGGGAGAGGGAUGCGGAAUUCCAGGUGUAGCGGUGAAAUGCGUAGAUAUCUGGAGGAACACCGGUGGCGAAGGCGGCAUCCUGGACCAAUAUUGACGCUGAGGAGCGAAAGCUAGGGGAGCAAACGGG